UUUUUUGUCAUUUUUGAAAUUAAAAUGAUAUUAAAUUACAAUAACAAUUUUGUAAAUAUGUCAAAAAAAACUAAGAAUGGUAUGGAAAGUUUAUGGCUAAAUAGUAUUGACAAAAAACAUUAGUUUUGUGUUUUGCUUAAAAUUGUAAGUCAUUUUUUAAAAUCUCCCUUAAAUUUUUGAUAUGGAAUCUCAACAGUAUCACAAUAAAAAGUUCAAGUCAUCUUAUGGUGAUCCAAAAUGCUCGACAUAUUUCACGCAAACGCUUCCAAAUUUUGAAUGAAUAGUGGGAGACUGAAUGUUGAUUCCACAUUUCCAUUGAAACCACACAUUCAUCCUGUAAAAUUAUUUUUAAAAAAAAAGAUAAUCUAAAGUGGAUUAGCUCUUAUAAACAUUUCACGAACUUUUUUAGGCAUUUUUAGACUUUUGUCAUCUUUUUCUAUAAACCUAUUUUUAGGCUUGUGCGUUAUAAAUCAAAAGCUCUAACUCUAUUUUUUUUUAAUCGUGUGUGCCUCAUUUCAGAGAGUGCAUUAGGAGAAUAUUAAUAAUAGAAGCAAAUAUUAGAAAAGUAUUUAUGUAAUAAAAUUAUUUAUGGAUAGAAUAAUUUCACAUUAAAACGGAAAAUUUUCUUUUUCUACUCACAUAUGUGUGCGACUAUCCACAACUGAUAUAUUAUUAUAUUAUAUUUUUACACGUAUAGUAUAUAAUACUUGAUUUAUAACAAUAAUACAUAGCAUAAUAAUCAGAUUGAUUUAAAACAAAAGUUCAAUGGAAAAAGGUGAGGAAAAGAAAGAGGAGGAGGAAGAAGAAGUACAAGAGGAGGAAAAGGAAAAGAAGAAGAAAGAGAAAGAAAAAGAAGAAGACUCACAUAUGUGUGUGACUAUCCACAACUGAUAUAUUAUUAUAUUAUAUUUUUACACGUAUAGUAUAUAAUACUUGAUUUAUAACAAUAAUACAUAGCAUAAUAAUCAGAUUGAUUUAAAACAAAAGCUCAAUGGAAAAAGGUGAGGAAAAGAAAGAGGAGGAGGAAGAAGAAGUACAAGAGGAGGAAAAGGAAAAGGAAAAGAAGAAGAAAGAGAAAGAAAAGGAAGAAGAUGCUGAAGUGAAAAAAAUAAGAAGCACAUGGAAAUGAGAAGGAUGAAAAGAAUGAGAAGGAAAAAAUGUUGUAAUAUAAUAUAUUGUCUUUAUAAAAUAAUAUAAUAUGUGAAAUUAAUUUAUUUUGAUUGCAUAUUUUUAUAAAUGGAUAUGUGUGUAUUUCGAAUGAGUGCACUAUAACAUUAUGAUUUCUAAUAUAACUUGAAAGAAACUUUCAAAAUAUCUCGUGAAUUCGUUCGAAUUUACAUGUUCUCGUAUAGUGAAUGAAAUUGAUUUAUUCUAUUUGAUUAUAUUAUGGACUAAAAUCUCAUAUACUGUUAAAGAAAAAAUAGUAAUCUGUCAUACUGUUAAUGAGUCUACAUACUCUCGUACUUUUAAUGAAAUAGUGGAGCUCCGAUUUUACCCUUUUUGUUUUCUACGAAAUUAAAUUUCAAAUUUUAUUUUUUUCAAAUUUCAAAUUUCCAGUUCUCAAUAAUCGAUGUAAAGUUUUACCAAAUUUUAUAGUUUUAAAAAUUCUCAACUUUUACCAAGUUUUAAAGUUUUACCAAAUAAUACAGUCUUACAAUGUUUUAUAGUUUACCAAGUUCUAAAAUUUUACAAAGUUGUACUUGAACGAUUCUACAACGUGGUAAAACUAGGUACAAAUUUUUAAUAAGUUGUACCAUUGUCGAGGUACAAUUUGGUAAAACUUUGUACCUAGUUUUACCAAGUUCUAUAGUUUUAUGAAGUUGUACUUGAACGAUAGUACAACUUGGUAUAACUUUGUUUCUGGUUGUAGUUGUACUUUUUCAUUUAUCAUAUAUUCAUGUAACAUGACAGAUAUAGAGCGCAAGAGGAAGAAAAUCAAAUAAGAAGAAGAAGAAACUGACAAAUAAUUAUAAAUAAAAAAAAAGAAAACCGGCAAUAAAACUCCAAACUUUCAAAUUAAAGCCAAAAAAACUUUAACUCGUAUUUGAGCCAAAAAAUACCCAAACUUUUAAAUGUUGGUCAUUUUAACUCUCAUUUUUUGUUGAAUCUGCCAUUUUAGAAACUCGGAAAGUCAACUAUUAAACCGUAAACGUCUGUUAACUUACUAAACAACGUUGUUUUAAAUACUACUUAAAAAUUCUUCUUCGACACCAAUACAAUUAUUCUCAGCCUCAUUAUCAUUCUCAUUAGUCUCACAAUUCCACUUAAGAUUUCUCACUACGGCGAACCCGAAGUAACCCCCAUCGUCUUAGCCAUCCUUUGCAUUAUCAAUGGCUCUCUUUUUUGGAGAUUAGAAGAUUGAGAGAUUCGAGAAUUAGAAAAUUUAGGUUUCACGAAAGAGAGGUUGAUUUAAAUGUUUACAGAUGUAAAACGACAUCAUUUCGUUAAUGUUUAAUCAGUUUUAAAAACGACAUCAUUUAGCGAGUUAACUUACGUUUACGGGUUUAAUAGUUGACUUUUCAGGUUUCUUAAAUGGCCUAGUCAACAAAAAAUGAGAGUUAAAAUUACCAAUAUUUGAAAGUUGAUAUAUUUUUUUGGUUCAAACAUGAGUUCAAUGUUUUUUUAGCUUUAAUUUGAAAGUUCAAGAUUUUUAUGGUUGUUUUCUCUAAUAAAAAAGGAAGAAGAAAUCACAGAGAAGUUGAAAAACUGAGAGAAUGAGAACAUAUUUUGAGGAAGGAAAGAAAUCUGAGAAAAAGAAGAUAUUUCAAAGAAGAAAAAUAGAUCUGAAAUCUAAGAAGGAAAACAGAUUUCGAAGAAGAAGAACAGAUCUGAGAAGAAGAAAUAAGAGAUUCAAGAAGGAGAAGAGAAGAGAACAUAUUUCGAACGAGGAGCAAAAAAUCAAUGAAGAUUCAUAGAAAAUGUAGAAGAGGUUUUCAGAGAUUUUGAAGAAGAAGAAGAAGAAGAGAUUUGAGAAAAAAAAAAGAAUAGAGAGAAGAAGAGAGAUGCAUAAGUUAAGAAUUAUGAUAGAGGAAAGAAUAUUAAGUUUAAAGUAUGAAUGGUAGAGUUUGUAAUUAGAUUGAUGUUUUAGGGGUUUUUGGUCAUUUGACAAAUUUUCGAAUAAAAAAUAAAUAAAAAUAAAUGAAAAAAAGAGAGAAGCAUAUGUAAAUAUUCUUUUUCCGGGGAGAGCAUCUUAGCAUUUCAUUCAUAUAUAAUGUAGUGUAAAUUUGAAAUCAUAUUAAUAUUGUAAAAAAAUAUUUUGUUUAAUAUAAAUUAUAUAGAAUAAAAUAAAAUAUUUUCUCUUGAACAGACUAUAUAAUUUUAAGAAAUAUAUAUCUGUUUUUAAACAUGCGUAUGUGAAAAAAUGUAGAUGUAUUUUUCAACAUGUGACAUAUAUAUAAAUGUUGUGUUGAAAAAAAAUGUAAUGCAAAAAGAGGUGAAAAAUUUAUUAACAAAAUAUAAAACAUAAAGAAAAAAGAGAGGAGAGAUGAGAGACGAGGACACCCCUUCCCAAGCCAUUUCUCCAAAUCAAAAGGAUAUUUUCUUUCAAAACCUAAGAUAACCAUUAGAGCAUCCACAUUGAGACUUGUAAAGGGGUUCAUGGGCUCAGUAUCAUAGAGCCGGAAUUAAAAAAAAAUAGAAAAAUGGGUUUUAUUUUGCGAGGCGGGCCUUCCCAGUGACCCCGUAGGAGACGGGUUUACGCCAGGUGUCACGCAGCUAUUGGCGACGCGUUAUUGAUGUGAGGAGGAGGAUCGCGUGUAGAGAAUCACUUUCCCUCAUUUCUGAAAAAAAUCUAGGGUUUGCUCCCAAGAGGCGAUUUGUCGAGCGAUCGUCUCCUCUCAUCUCAUUUCUUCAAAUUUCUUCACUAUUCUUCAUCGAUUCGAGUAGAGAGUGUCUCCUCCACGUUAAUAGAUGGAUCCCGCAGAGGAGAGGAGAGAUACAAAGAGGCAUCAGGAGUACAUAAACAUGUUGGGAAACGUUUGCGAUUCAGAAUAUGGAAUUCCAAGACGAUGUCCCUGUGGUGGGAGAAUGAUUGACGAGAUGCGGGUGAAGGAGGAGCACGAGACUCAUCCUGGAAAGCGCUUCUUCACCUGCAUAAACUACGAGGUAAGAGAUACCUCAGAGCACUCGUAUAAUAUGUAGUAUAAUUUGUAGGAAAUAUGUUGUCUAAUGUUUUAUAAUGUUGUCACCAAGGCUGAUGGGUUACAUUAUCGUCAGCCUUGGGUUGUAGGUGUCCAGGAGGAGAUCGAACAUCUGCGUAAGCGUGUGGACGAGGCUGAGGAGGUGAUCAAGUGGGUGCCCAAUCUCAAGAGACAGAUAGAGAGUGUAGAGGUUAGUGUAUUUAUUUUUUUAAGUGUACCUAAUAGGAAGUAACAAGAAGUAAUUUGUUUUUAACAGUAAGAAGGUUUAUCUGUGCAGGCACAGGUUAAAAGGCUCGCUCUGCUGGUUGAUAGGCUCACUGGUGACGUUUAUAACCUCACUGUACAGGUGGAUACUCUGGAGAAGGUCUGCUUCGAUUAAAAUCCAAAAGGUAAACACCUGAUCUUGAACUGAACUAGAACUGAAUUUGACUAGGUUGCUGGCUGAACUAGAACUGAAGUUGAGUAGGUAGGUUCCGUGUUGUAUUAAUUAAAGUGAAUUGAAGUAGAAGUAGCUUCAGUGUAUUAAUUGAUAUUCUCUGAAAGUAAAGUGAUGCUCUGAAAGUGAACUGAACUAGAAGUAGUUUCUGUGUAUUAAUUGAACUAGGGUGGUUGGUGGCAGUGAUGAAUGCUCUGAAAGUGAUGUGAUGCUCUGAUAGUGGUUGUGUUUUGAUGAAUGCUAUCUGUUUUCGUGGUUGGUAGUUAGAAACUUUAAAACACACCAUGUUUGGUAGUUAGAAACUUUAAAACAAAUUGAGUUAAAACUUUAAAACACACCAAGUUACAUCACCCAAAAUAUUAGUUUAAAUACAUAGUAAAUCCUACUGAGGUUAACUCAAACCAAGUUCUAAACAGAAACCAACUUUAAAACACACCUACGGAAACCUUAAUGGAUCCGUUUUCCCUUAAUUCUCCCGGGUCUUCUCGUGUUCCCAAACUGGUUGAAAGGAAAAAGUGGACACCACAAGAAGAUAUAGUCUUCAUCAGUGCUUGGUUAAACACCAGCAAAGAUCCCAUAGUUAGUAACCAGCAGAAGUUAGUGUCUUUUUGGAGAAGAAUUGAGGAAUAUUUCAAUUCAAGCCCUCUGCUAACAGGCUCUUCUGGAAGAGAGUGGAGUACAUGUAAGCAGAGGUGGGGAAGGCUAAAUUCCGAGGUUUGUAAGUUUGUGGGAAGCUAUGAGGCCGCUUUGAAGGAGCAAGCUAGUGGCCAAAAUGAGAACGAUGUCAUGAAGGCUGCCCAUGACAUCUUCUUCAACGACUACACGGGCAAGUUCACACUUGAACAUGCGUGGAGGGAGCUGCGGUUCGAUCAAAAGUGGAGGUCAACUUAUUUAACAACAGAUGGUGCAAAGGAGAAAAGGAAGGAAGCUACAGAGACGGUGCCUGACUCGGAAGAAGAGGUUAGACCACCUGGUGUUAAGGCUUGCAAAGCAGCCGCCAAACGCAAGAAGCAUGGGAAUGAAGCAGCAUAUGAUCGACUACAGACCAUUAUAGACAUGAAACAGAACAUAUCCAAACAGAAACUAUUAGAUCGUCUCCUCUCAAAAAAAAGAUACUCUAACUGAUAGUGAGGUGUCUCUCAAGGACAAACUCGUAGCUGAGAUGCUUUGAUCUGGUCAGUGAUUACAAACGUAGUAGUUUAGGUUGUUUUCUUGAGUAUUUGCGUAGUUGUUUUAGGUUGUUUUGCUGAUAAUUAAUGUUAAUUGGAACUAUGACUGGUUUGGAAUUUGAGUUGUAUAGUCAUUUUAUUUCAGUUCAUCAAAUAGUAGUAGUAGUUUCGUUGGCUUUAAUUGGAACUAUGCCUGUUACAAUAAAUAGUAGUAGUAGUUUCUUUGGUUUGCUUACUUGCUUACUAACUAUUGGCGUGGUUUUGUUGCUUCUGCAGGUCACCGGUUCUACUUCAACUGGCGUUCUUUGUUGCUUCUGCAGGUCACGGGUGGUAUUAGCUAAGUAGUUGUCACGAGGUGUAGUAGGUAGUGUGUAGUGACAACACGUUUUCAAUUAUGUUGUGUAAUGGGUGUGAGAAACAGUUGUAUUUUGUUGGUUUCUACACUCACGGAUGAAUUAUGUUUGUGUCACGGGUGUGAAAGUGUAGCAUUUUGUUGGUUUCUACACUUCACGUGUAUUGUAAAACAAUGCCUAUAUAAUCUAUUGUCUCAUUUAUGCA